rnacentral:rRNA from 1 species
AACGAACGCUGGCGGCAGGCUUAACACAUGCAAGUCGAGCGCAUCCUUCGGGGUGAGCGGCGGACGGGUGAGUAACGCGUGGGAACGUGCCCUCUUCUACGGAAUAGCCCAGGGAAACUUGGAUUAAUGCCGUAUACGCCCGAAAGGGGAAAGAUUUAUCGGAGGAGGAUCGGCCCGCGUUGGAUUAGGUAGUUGGUGGGGUAAUGGCCUACCAAGCCGACGAUCCAUAGCUGGUUUGAGAGGAUGAUCAGCCACACUGGGACUGAGACACGGCCCAGACUUACCCCCCCCCCCCCCCCCCCCCCCCCGGGAGGCAGCAGUGGGGAAUCUUGGACAAUGGGGGAAACCCUGAUCCAGCCAUGCCGCGUGAUCGAUGAAGGCCUUAGGGUUGUAAAGAUCUUUCAGCUGGGAAGAUAAUGACGGUACCAGCAGAAGAAGCCCCGGCUAACUCCGUG